rnacentral:rRNA from 1 species
CAGUCGCCGCGGUAAUCCGUAGGUCCCGAGCGUUGUCCGGAUUUAUUGGGCGUAAAGCGAGCGCAGGCGGUUAGAUAAGUCUGAAGUUAAAGGCUGUGGCUUAACCAUAGUGCGCUUUGGAAACUGUUUAACUUGAGUGCAAGAGGGGAGAGUGGAAUUCCAUGUGUAGCGGUGAAAUGCGUAGAUAUAUGGAGGAACACCGGUGGCGAAAGCGGCUCUCUGGUCUGUCACUGACGCUGAGGCUCGAAAGCGUGGGGAGCAAACAGGAUUAGAUACCCCAGUAGUCCCUGUCUCUUAUACC